rnacentral:rRNA from 1 species
GAUGAACGCUGGCGGCGUGCCGAUUACAUGCAAGUCGAGCGAACAGGCGAGGAGCUUGCUCCGCUGACGUUAUCGGCGGACGGGUGAGUAACACGUGGAUAAACUGUCUAUAAGACUUGGACAACUUCGGGAAACCGGAUCUAAUACCGGUGAAGAUAUUCAACCGCAUUGUUCGAUAGUGGAAGGCUGUGUUGCUGCCACUUAUAGACGGAUCCGCUCCGCAUUAGCUAGUUGGUAAGGUAACGGCUUACCAAGGCAACGAUCCAUAGCCGACCUGAGAGGGUGAUCGGCCACACUGGAACUGAGACACGGUCCAGACUCCUACGGGAGGCAGCAGUAGGGAAUCUUCCGCAAUGGGAGAAAGCCUGACGGAGCGACGCCGCGUGAGUGAUGAAGGUCUUCGGAUCGUAAAACUCUGUUAUUAGGGAAGAACAAAUGUGUAAGUAACUAUGCACGUCUUGACGGUACCUAAUCAGAACGCCACGGCUAACUCCGUG